rnacentral:rRNA from 1 species
AGGGCACCACCAGGAGKGGAGCCKGCGGYUUAAUUUGACUCAACACGGGAAAACUUACCAGGUCCGAACAURAAUGAGUAAGACAGAUUGAUAGCUCUUUCUCGAAUCUAUGGGKGGKGGUGCAUGGCCGUUCUUAGUUCGKGGAGUGAUUUGUCUGGUUAAUUCCRAUAACGAACGARACUCAAAUAUAUUAAAUAGAUGCAUUCAGGACUAUGACAUUGAAGCUUUGCAUACCCUUUUGUUUUUUGUGGGUUUCGAUUCGCAUUGGCAAUUUGUGGUUAUGUAGGUGGAGUCAUACCUGUUUGUUUGUCUAAAUACAAAUAGACACUUAGCUUCUUAAAUGGACAAAUUGUUUCUAACAAUAUGAGAUUGAGCAAUAACAGGUCUGUGAUGCCCUUAGAUGUCCUGGGCUGCACGCGCGCUACAAUGAAGGUAUCAACGUGUAUUUCCUAGGSCGAGAGGUCCGGGUAAACCGCUGAACCACCUUCUUGCUUGGAUUGUGAACUGAAACUGUUCACA